rnacentral:rRNA from 1 species
AAAUUGAAGAGUUUGAUCAUGGCUCAGAUUGAACGCUGGCGGCAGGCCUAACACAUGCAAGUCGAACGGUAACAGGAAGCAGCUUGCUGCUUCGCUGACGAGUGGCGGACGGGUGAGUAAUGUCUGGGAAGCUGCCUGAUGGAGGGGGAUAACUACUGGAAACGGUGGCUAAUACCGCAUAACGUCGCAAGACCAAAGAGGGGGACCUUCGGGCCUCUUGCCAUCAGAUGUGCCCAGAUGGGAUUAGCUAGUUGGUGAGGUAACGGCUCACCAAGGCGACGAUCCCUAGCUGGUCUGAGAGGAUGACCAGCCACACUGGAACUGAGACACGGUCCAGACUCCUACGGGAGGCAGCAGUGGGGAAUAUUGCACAAUGGGCGCAAGCCUGAUGCAGCCAUGCCGC